GACGAACGCUGGCGGCGUGCUUAACACAUGCAAGUCGAACGGAAAGGCCCUGCUUUUGUGGGGUGCUCGAGUGGCGAACAGGUGAGUAACACGUGAGUAACCUGCCCUUGACUUUGGGAUAACUUCAGGAAACUGGGGCUAAUACCGGAUAGGAGCUCCUGCUGCAUGGUGGGGGUUGGAAAGUUUCGGCGGUUGGGGAUGGACUCGCGGCUUAUCAGCUUGUUGGUGGGGUAGUGGCUUACCAAGGCUUUGACGGGUAGCCGGCCUGAGAAGGUGACCGGCCACAUUGGGACUGAGAUACGGCCCAGACUCCUACGGGAGGCAGCAGUGGGGAAUAUUGCACAAUGGGCGGAAGCCUGAUGCAGCAACGCCGCGUGCGGGAUGACGGCCUUCGGGUUGUAAACCGCUUUCGCCUGUGACGAAGCGUGAGUGACGGUAAUGGGUAAAGAAGCACCGGCUAACUACGUG
rnacentral:rRNA from 1 species